UAGGGUGCAAGCGUUGUCCGGAAUUAUUGGGCGUAAAGAGCUCGUAGGCGGUUUGUCGCGUCUGCUGGGAAAACUCGGGGCUUAACCCCGGGCCUGCAGUGGGUACGGGCAGACUAGAGUGCGGUAGGGGAGACUGGAAUUCCUGGUGUAGCGGUGAAAUGCGCAGAUAUCAGGAGGAACACCGGUGGCGAAGGCGGGUCUCUGGGCCGUAACUGACGCUGAGGAGCGAAAGCGUGGGGAGCGAACAGG
rnacentral:rRNA from 1 species